rnacentral:lncRNA from 1 species
UUUUUUUUCAGUACCAGGAAUUGAACUCAGGACCUUGUGCUUACCAGGCAUACACUUGUGCCACUGAGCUCUAUCCCCAGCCCCUUGAAGAAGUUGCCUGAAAAAUUGCAAGCUCUACUGGUUGUGAGUGACAACAAACAAUAAGCUUGCCGCCUGAAUGGAGAAACAGGGAUAGGAAGAAGGAAGGCUCCUUUCUUUUCUAUGGACAAACUCUGGUCCUCACCUUCACCUUGGACAUUGUUUCCUGGCCUCCUGCACAGGCUCUUCAUCCUCCCAGCACAGAAUCUUCAGCCUUCCUUACAAAACUUUCAUCCUCCUGAUAAGGAUGCUCAUGGGAUCCUCCAGUUAGCUAAAGAACUUCAAGUGCAUCCUUGGCAUCUCCAGGACAGACAGAUCUUUUGCACUUUUCCAUACCUCACUCUGCAGGCAACCAUUAAUUUGAAACAUGGGUCACCAAUGGACAAGCUAGAUAUACCUGCAUAAGCUAAUAUUAUUUAUUACUCUCAAGAGCCAUAAACACAAAUCCAGCUCCAUUACCAUUAGCAUUACAAAAAUUACUAGAUUGCUUAUUCCAUAUUUAAGCAAGGAAGUCCUACGAAGCGGUGGCACUCAAUGCUACCAGUAAUAUUCAAUAAUGAAGGAAAGUGUUCCAACACUCUCAAUGAAUGCAAAUGAUAAAUUUGAAAGAACUCACUAAAUAUAUUAGUAUGAAAUGUCAAACAGGUAUUAGUGAUCUAAUAUAUACAAUGUUACAAUACUGUAACUAUAACCCUAUGUCUAUGUAGUUAACUACAGCAUAGUUGUCCAACUGAACUACAACCUUAUGGUAGUGACCUGGAUGAGACCAAAAGGAGAUUCAGGCUAAUGACAAUAUUCUGUUUCUUGAUCUAUCAUUAUGUGCAGUCUUGUGUUCCAUUUGUAAAACUCCACUGAGCAGUGCACAAACAAAUUCUGUUACCACAUUCAUUCUUUGCACAUAAAUGUUAUUACAUAAAUUGAGAAAAUAUAGAUGGGAGAACUGCUGGCAUUAGAAUGUGUGUACCUUUCUGUACAGGAUGAAGCUCACAGAACCACUGUGACACAUGCUGAUAUCCAAAGAGAGACAUCCCAGAAUAACAACAAUGUUGUGCCUAUGGACUCUUUGAUAUUUGUCAUGGAUUCCAGAAGUAUAUUGCCUGAAAACUUAGUUGAUUUUGUUUUGGUUUUGCUUCUCUUUGGCAAUCAUAUACAUAGAACAAUCAAGUUUACAAGUAAGAGCUCACUCGAUUAAAAUGACCAAUCCACUAUAUGUAGUUGUCCAUUGGGACAACUACAUAUGUGAAGUUCCUGGGACUCAUGAUAGUGACACACAUACCUCAAGACACAGGAGAUUCCAGUGCAAAAUUAUAAUCC